CCCUUAGAUGUUCUGGGCCGCACGCGUGCUACACUGAGUGGAUCAGCGGGUCAGGUUGCGCGAAAGUGUUUCCUAAUCUUUAAAUCCGCUCGUGAUGGGGAUUGACGGUUGCAAUUUUCCGUCAUGAACGAGGAAUACCUUGUAAGCGCGGGUCAUCAUCCCGCGCUGAAUACGUCCCUGCCCUUUGUACACACCGCCCGUCGCUCCUACCGAUUGGGUGUGCUGGUAAAAUGUUCGGAUCGGCCGUUUGUCGCGGUUUCCGCGUCAUGUGGCUGAGAAGUUCAUUAAACCCUCCCACCUAGAGGAAGGAGAAGUCGUAACA
rnacentral:rRNA from 1 species